AGCGAACGCUGGCGGCAGGCCUAACACAUGCAAGUCGAACGAAGCCUUCGGGCUUAGUGGCGGACGGGUGAGUAACACGUGGGAACGUACCUUUUGGUUCGGAAUAACGCAGAGAAAUUUGCGCUAAUACCGAAUGAGCCCUUCGGGGGAAAGAUUUAUCGCCGAAAGAUCGGCCCGCGUUGGAUUAGGUAGUUGGUGUGGUAAAGGCGCACCAAGCCUACGAUCCAUAGCUGGUCUGAGAGGAUGAUCAGCCACACUGGGACUGAGACACGGCCCAGACUCCUACGGGAGGCAACAGUGGGGAAUCUUGCGCAAUGGGCGAAAGCCUGACGCAGCCAUGCCGCGUGAAUGAUGAAGGUCUUAGGAUUGUAAAAUUCUUUUACCAGGGACGAUAAUGACGGUACCUGGAGAAAAAGCACCGGCUAACUCCGUGCCAGCAGCCGCAGUAAAAC
rnacentral:rRNA from 1 species